ACCUCCCAAUCGUGCUAACACCGCCCACUCAGGCCUGGCUUGCUGGCCUCCACAAGUACUCCAUCAACAGCUAGGCCGAGCUCAAGGCUUAGUU
rnacentral:snoRNA from 1 species